rnacentral:rRNA from 1 species
AACACGUGGAUAAUCUACCCGACAGUCAGGGAUAACAUUUCGAAAGGAAUGCUAAUACCUGAUAAGCCUACGCCCUCCUCGGAGGAAGUAGGAAAAGGUGGGGACCUUCGGGCCUGCCGUUGUUGGAUGAGUCCGCGGCCCAUUAGCUAGUUGGUAGGGUAAUGGCCUACCAAGGCUACGAUGGGUAGCUGGUCUGAGAGGAUGAUCAGCCACACUGGAACUGAGACACGGUCCAG